rnacentral:lncRNA from 1 species
UGUUGUUGGGGCGCGUGUUUGUGUCGUUGCUGCUACUUUUGCAGUAGUUGUGUUUGGUGGGGUGAAGAUCACGACAGUAGUUGAUGUAAGAGAUGGGGUUGUAGGCACCAGGGUGGUAGUCUUUGUGGCAGUACAUCUUGUUUUCUGGAGGGAAACUAUUGUAGAAGUACUGAUUGUUGUUGAAAUAUGACUUGUCUGAGUGUCAAAGCAUUUUGUUAUUAGUCCAGAUGUUUGCUGGAAAGCCUGGGUGGUAGGUGUUGUUGUCAUGGUCUUAGAUUUAAAAGCAGUACAUUUGGCGCUCAGGUGAGGGUUUGCGAUCAGUUGGAUAAGAGGUGUUUGAGUUGGGACAGCAGUUGUCAAUAGAAAGGCUGUGGUCUUCGGAAUAUUUGAGGGUAUUGGAAUAGGGCAUUUUUUACUCAGGCUAGAUACCCCAGUAGGUGAGCUUGUACUAGAGGUUGAUGACUUGCGGGCCAUGCAUUUUUUUAACAAGGACGAAACUGUUCCAGUUGAGAUUGUGGAAGUUGUUGUAUUUAACGAGUUGGGACAGGCUAUUGAAAAAGCUGUUGUAGUUGUUGUUGGAGCAACUGUUGUUGUGGUUGUUGUUGGAGCCCCUGUUGUUGUGGUUGUUGUUGGAGAAACUGCAGUAGGGGAAGCUGUAGUUGUGGUUGGAGCAACUGCGGUAGGGGAAGCUGUAGUUGUGGUUAGAACAACUGCGGUAGGGGAAGCUGUAGUUGUGGUUGGAGCAACUGCGGUAGGGGAAGCUGUAGUUGUGAUUAGGGCAACUGUAGUGAAUCUUGGAGUAGCUGUAGUUGUGGUUGAAGCUGUGGUAGAUGUUGAUGUAGAAGCAGUAGUUGUGGUUGGAGCAGCUGUUGUAGUGGUUGUUGUUAGAGCAGCUGUUGUAGUGGUUGUUGUUGGAGAAGUUGUUAUGGUUGUUGUUGGAACAGCUGUUGUUUCUUUUGUUGUUGUUGUUGGAGCAGCUGUUGUAGUGGUAGUUGUUGGAGCCGCUGUUAUAGUUGUUGUUGUUGGAGCAUCUGUUGUUGAGGUUGUAGUUGUGGUUGGAGCAGCUGUUGUUGUGGUUGUUGUGGGAGAAGAUGUUGUGGUUGGGGCAGCUGUUGUAGUGGUUGUUGUUGCUGGAGCAGCUGUUGUGGUUGUUGUUGGAGCAGCUGUUGUAAUGGUUGUGGUUGAAGCAACAGUUGUUGUAGUUGUUGUUGGAGAAGCUGUUGUUGUGGUUGUUGGAGCAGCAGUAGUUGCAGUUGUUGUUGGAGUAGCUGUUGUUGUGGUUGGAGCAGCUGUUGUACUGGUUGUUGUGGGAGCCCCUGUUGUUGUGGUUGUGGUUGGAGCAGCAGUAGUUGUAGUUGUGCUUGGAGCAGCUGUUGUUGUGGUUGUAGUUGUUGUUGUUGGAGCAGCUGUUGUUGUGGUUGUUGUUGUUGUUGUUGGAGCAGUAGUGGUUGUGGUUGUUGUUGGAGCAGCUGUUGUCUUGGUUGUUGUUGGAGCAGCUGUGGUUUUGGUUGUGGUUGGAGCAGCUGUUGUAGUGGUGGUUGUUGGAGCAGAAGUUGUUGUGGUUGUUGUUGGAGUUACUGUAGUUGUGGUUGGAGCAGCUGUUGUUGUGGUUGUUGUUGUUGUUGGAGCAGGUGUUGUUGCGGUUGUUAUUGGAGAAGGAGUGGUUGUCGUUGUUGUUGGAGAAGCUGUUGUCUUGGUUGUUGUUGGAGCAGCUGUGGUUUUGGUUGUGGUUGGAGCAGCUGUUGUCUUGGUUGUUGUUAGAGCAGCCAUUGUAGUAGUUGUAAUUGUGGUUGUUUGAUCUUUUAGUUGUGAAGCUGUAGUUGUUGUUGUAGCUGCUUUAGUUGGUGCAGCAGUAGUUGUAGUCUUGGUUUUGGUUGGAGCAGCUGUUGUUGUUGUGGUUGUUGUUGGAGUCGCUGUUGUAGUUGUUGUUGUUGGAGUAGGUGUUGUUGUCGUUGUUGUUGGAGCAGGAGUCGUUGUGGUUGUUGUUGUUGGAGUAGGUGUUGUUGUGGUUGUUGUUGGAGCAGGAGUGGUUGUGGUUGUUGUUGGAGCAGAAGUUGUUGUGGUGGUUGUUGGAGUAACUGUAGUUGUGGUUGGAGCAGCUGUUGUUGUUGUUGUUGUUGUUGUUGUUGGAGCAGGUGUUGUUGUGGUAGGUGUUGUUGUGGUUGGAGCAGCUGUUGUUGUUGUUGGAGCAGGUGUGGUUGUGGUUGUUGUUGGAGCAGGAGUCGUUGUGGUUGUUGUUGUUGGAGUAGGUGUUGUUGUGGUUGUUGUUGGAGCAGGAGUGGUUGUGGUUGUUGUUGGAGCAGAAGUUGUUGUGGUGGUUGUUGGAGUAACUGUAGUUGUGGUUGGAGCAGCUGUUGUUGUUGUUGUUGUUGUUGUUGUUGUUGUUGUUGUUGUUGUUGUUGGAGCAGGUGUUGUGGUUGUUGUUGGAGAAGGAGUGGUUGUGGUUGUUGUUGGAGCAGGAGUGGUUGUGGUUGUUGUUGGAGUUACUGUCGUUGUGGUUGGAGCAGCUGUUGUUGUUGUUGGAGAAGGUGUUGUGGUUGUUGUUGGAGCAGAAGUUGUUGUCGUUGUUGUUGUUGUUGGAGCAGAAGUGGUUGUGGUUGUUGUUGGAGCAGGAGUGGUUGUGGUUGUUGUUGGAGCAGGAGUGGUUGUGGUUGUUGUUGGAGUUACUGUCGUGGUUGGAGCAGCUGUUGUUGUUGUUGGAGCAGGUGUGGUUGUGGUUGUUGUUGGAGCAGGAGUGGUUGUGGUUGUUGUUGGAGCAGCUGUUGUUGUGGUUGUUGUUGUUGGAGCAGGAGUGGUUGUUGGAGCAGGAGUGGUUGUGGUUGUUGUUGUUGGAGUAGGUGUUGUUGUGGUUGUUGUUGGAGCAGGAGUGGUUGUGGUUGUUGUUGGAGCAGAAGUUGUUGUGGUGGUUGUUGGAGUAACUGUAGUUGUGGUUGGAGCAGCUGUUGUUGUUGUUGUAGUUGUUGUUGGAGCAGGUGUUGUUGUGGUUGUUGUUGGAGAAGGAGUGGUUGUGGUUGUUGUUGGAGCAGGAGUGGUUGUGGUUGUUGUUGGAGUUACUGUCGUUGUGGUUGGAGCAGCUGUUGUUGUUGUUGGAGCAGGUGUUGUGGUUGUUGUUGGAGCAGAAGUUGUUGUCGUUGUUGUUGUUGUUGGAGCAGGAGUGGUUGUGGUUGUUGUUGGAGCAGGAGUGGUUGUGGUUGUUGUUGUUGGAGUAGGUGUUGUUGUGGUUGUUGUUGGAGAAGGAGUGGUUGUGGUUGUUGUUGGAGUUACUGUCGUGGUUGGAGCAGUUGUUGUUGUUGUUGGAGCAGGUGUGGUUGUGGUUGUUGUUGGAGCAGGAGUGGUUGUGGUUGUUGUUGGAGCAGCUGUUGUUGUUGUUGUUGGAGCAGGAGUGGUUGUGGUUGUUGUUGGAGCAGGAGUGGUUGUGGUUGUUGUUGUUGGAGUAGGUGUUGUGGUUGUUGUUGGAGCAGGAGUGGUUGUGGUUGUUGUUGGAGCAGAAGUUGUUGUGGUGGUUGUUGGAGUAACUGUAGUUGUGGUUGGAGCAGCUGUUGUUGUUGUUGUUGGAGCAGGAGUGGUUGUGGUUGUUGUUGGAGCAGGAGUGGUUGUGGUUGUUGUUGUUGGAGUAGGUGUUGUGGUUGUUGUUGGAGCAGGAGUGGUUGUGGUUGUUGUUGGAGCAGAAGUUGUUGUGGUGGUUGUUGGAGUAACUGUAGUUGUGGUUGGAGCAGCUGUUGUUGUUGUUGUUGGAGCAGGUGUUGUUGUGGUUGUUGUUGGAGAAGGAGUGGUUGUGGUUGUUGUUGGAGCAGGAGUGGUUGUGGUUGUUGUUGGAGUUACUGUCGUUGUGGUUGGAGCAGCUGUUGUUGUUGUUGGAGCAGGUGUUGUUGUGGUUGGAGGAGGUGUUGUUGUUGUUGUUGGAGUUGUUGUUGUUGUUGUUGUUGUUGGAGCAGGAGUGGUUGUGGUUGUUGUUGGAGAAGCUGUUGUUGUUGUAGUUAUUGGAGAAGGAGUGGUUGUCGUUGUUGUUGGAGAAGCUGUUGUCUUGGUUGUUGUUGGAGCAGCUGUGGUUUUGGUUGUGGUUGGAGCAGCUGUUGUCUUGGUUGUUGUUAGAGCAGCCAUUGUAGUAGUUGUAAUUGUGGUUGUUUGAUCUUUUAGUUGUGAAGCUGUAGUUGUUGUUGUAGCUGCUUUAGUUGGUGCAGCAGUAGUUGUAGUCUUGGUUUUGGUUGGAGCAGCUGUUGUUGUUGUGGUUGUUGUUGGAGUCGCUGUUGUAGUUGUUGUUGUUGGAGUAGGUGUUGUUGUCGUUGUUGUUGGAGCAGGAGUCGUUGUGGUUGUUGUUGUUGGAGUAGGUGUUGUUGUGGUUGUUGUUGGAGCAGGAGUGGUUGUGGUUGUUGUUGGAGCAGAAGUUGUUGUGGUGGUUGUUGGAGUAACUGUAGUUGUGGUUGGAGCAGCUGUUGUUGUUGUUGUUGUUGUUGUUGGAGCAGGUGUGGUUGUGGUUGUUGUUGGAGCAGGAGUGGUUGUGGUUGUUGUUGGAGCAGCUGUUGUUGUGGUUGUUGUUGUUGGAGCAGGAGUGGUUGUUGGAGCAGGAGUGGUUGUGGUUGUUGUUGUUGGAGUAGGUGUUGUUGUGGUUGUUGUUGGAGCAGGAGUGGUUGUGGUUGUUGUUGGAGCAGAAGUUGUUGUGGUGGUUGUUGGAGUAACUGUAGUUGUGGUUGGAGCAGCUGUUGUUGUUGUUGUAGUUGUUGUUGGAGCAGGUGUUGUUGUGGUUGUUGUUGGAGAAGGAGUGGUUGUGGUUGUUGUUGGAGCAGGAGUGGUUGUGGUUGUUGUUGGAGUUACUGUCGUUGUGGUUGGAGCAGCUGUUGUUGUUGUUGGAGCAGGUGUUGUGGUUGUUGUUGGAGCAGAAGUUGUUGUCGUUGUUGUGGUUGUUGGAGCAGGAGUGGUUGUGGUUGUUGUUGGAGCAGGAGUGGUUGUGGUUGUUGUUGUUGGAGUAGGUGUUGUUGUGGUUGUUGUUGGAGCAGGAGUGGUUGUGGUUGUUGUUGGAGUUACUGUCGUGGUUGGAGCAGCUGUUGUUGUUGUUGGAGCAGGUGUGGUUGUGGUUGUUGUUGGAGCAGGAGUGGUUGUGGUUGUUGUUGGAGCAGCUGUUGUUGUUGUUGUUGGAGCAGGAGUGGUUGUGGUUGUUGUUGGAGCAGGAGUGGUUGUGGUUGUUGUUGUUGGAGUAGGUGUUGUGGUUGUUGUUGGAGCAGGAGUGGUUGUGGUUGUUGUUGGAGCAGAAGUUGUUGUGGUGGUUGUUGGAGUAACUGUAGUUGUGGUUGGAGCAGCUGUUGUUGUUGUUGUUGGAGCAGGUGUUGUUGUGGUUGUUGUUGGAGAAGGAGUGGUUGUGGUUGUUGUUGGAGCAGGAGUGGUUGUGGUUGUUGUUGGAGUUACUGUCGUUGUGGUUGGAGCAGCUGUUGUUGUUGUUGGAGCAGGUGUUGUUGUGGUUGUUGUUGGAGAAGAAGUUGUUGUGGUUGUUGUUGGAGCAGCUUUUGUUGUCGUUGUUGUUGUUGUUGUUGUUGGAGCAGGAGUGGUUGUGGUUGUUGUUGGAGCAGCUGUUGUUGUUGUAGUUGGAGCAGGAGUGGUUGUGGUUGUUGUUGGAGCAGCUGUUGUAGUGGUGGUUGUUGGAGCAGAAGUUGUUGUGGUUGUUGUUGGAGUUACUGUCGUGGUUGGAGCAGCUGUUGUUGUUGUAGUUGGAGCAGGAGUGGUUGUGGUUGUUGUUGGAGCAGCUGUUGUAGUGGUGGUUGUUGGAGCAGAAGUUGUUGUGGUUGUUGUUGGAGUUACUGUCGUUGUGGUUGGAGCAGCUGUUGUUGUUGUUGUAGCAGGUGUUGUUGUUGUUGUAGUUGGAGCAGGAGUGGUUGUGGUUGUUGUUGGAGCAGCUGUUGUUGUCGUUGUUGUUGUUGUUGGAGCAGGAGUGGUUGUGGUUGUUGUUGGAGCAGGAGUGGUAGUGGUGGUUGUUGGAGAAGCUGUUGUUGUCGUUGUUGUUGUUGUUGGAGCACGAGUGGUUGUGGUUGUUGUUGGAGCAGGAGUGGUUGUGGUUGUUGUUGGAGCAGCUGUUGUUGUCGUUGUUGUUGUUGUUGUUGGAGUAGGAGUGGUUGUGGUUGUUGUUGGAGCAGCUGUUGUUGUAGUUGGAGCAGGAGUGGUUGUGGUUGUUGUUGGAGCAGCUGUUGUAGUGGUGGUUGUUGGAGCAGAAGUUGUUGUGGUUGUUGUUGGAGUUACUGUCGUUGUGGUUGGAGCAGCUGUUGUUGUUGUUGGAGCAGGUGUUGUUGUUGUUGUUGUAGUUGGAGCAGGAGUGGUUGUGGUUGUUGUUGGAGCAGCUGUUGUGGUGGUGGUUGUUGGAGCAGAAGUUGUUGUGGUUGUUGUUGGAGUUACUGUCGUUGUGGUUGGAGCAGCUGUUGUUGUUGGAGCAGGUGUUGUUGUGGUUGUUGUUGGAGCAGGAGUGGUUGUGGUUGUUGUUGGAGCAGCUGUUGUUGUCGUUGUUGUUGUUGGAGCAGGAGUGGUUGUGGUUGUUGUUGGAGCAGGAGUGGUUGUGGUUGUUGUUGGAGCAGCUGUUGUUGUUGUUGUUGUUGUUGUUGGAGAAGGAGUGGUUGUGGUUGUUGGAGCAGCUGUUGUUGUUGUAGUUGGAGCAGGAGUGGUUGUGGUUGUUGUUGGAGCAGCUGUUGUAGUGGUGGUUGUUGGAGCAGAAGUUGUUGUGGUUGUUGUUGGAGUUACUGUCGUUGUGGUUGGAGCAGCUGUUGUUGUUGUUGGAGCAGGUGUUGUUGUAGUUGGAGCAGGAGUGGUUGUGGUUGUUGUUGGAGCAGCUGUUGUAGUGGUGGUUGUUGGAGCAGAAGUUGUUGUGGUUGUUGUUGGAGUUACUGUCGUUGUGGUUGGAGCAGCUGUUGUUGUUGUUGGAGCAGGUGUUGUUGUGGUUGUUGUUGGAGAAGGAGUGGUUGUGGUUGUUGUUGGAGCAGCUGUUGUUGUCGUUGUUGUUGUUGUCGGAGCAGGAGUGGUUGUGGUUGUUGUUGGAGCAGCUGUUGUUGUCGUUGUUGUUGUUGUUGUUGGAGCAGGAGUGGUUGUGGUUGUUGUUGGAGAAGGAGUGGUUGUGGUUGUUGUUGGAGCAGGAGUGGUUGUGGUUGUUGUUGGAGCAGCUGUUGUUGUUGUAGUUGGUGCAGGAGUGGUUGUGGUUGUUGUUUGAGCAGCUGUUGUAGUGGUGGUUGUUGGAGCAGAAGUUGUUGUGGUUGUUGUUGGAGUUACUGUCGUUGUGGUUGGAGCAGCUGUUGUUGUUGUUGGAGCAGGUGUUGUUGUGGUUGUUGUUGGAGAAGGAGUGGUUGUGGUUGUUGUUGGAGCAGCUGUUGUUGUCGUUGUUGUUGGAGAAGCUGUUGUUGUUGUUGUUGUUGUUGUUGGAGCAGGAGUGGUUGUGGUUGUUGUUGGAGCAGCUGUUGUUGUAGUUGGAGAAGGAGUGGUUGUGGUUGUUGUUGGAGCAGCUGUUGUAGUGGUGGUUGUUGGAGCAGAAGUUGUUGUGGUUGUUGUUGGAGUUACUGUCGUUGUGGUUGGAGCAGCUGUUGUUGUUGUUGGAGCAGGUGCUGUUGUUGUUGUUGUAGUUGGAGCAGGAGUGGUUGUGGUUGUUGUUGGAGAAGCUGUUGUAGUGGUGGUUGUUGGAGCAGAAGUUGUUGUGGUUGUUGUUGGAGUUACUGUCGUUGUGGUUGGAGCAGCUGUUGUUGUUGUUGGAGAAGGUGUUGUUGUUGUUGUAGUUGGAGCAGGAGUGGUUGUGGUUGUUGUUGGAGCAGCUGUUGUAGUGGUGGUUGUUGGAGCAGAAGUUGUUGUGGUUGUUGUUGGAGUUACUGUCAUUGUGGUUGGAGCAGCUGUUGUUGUUGUUGGAGCAGGUGUUGUUGUGGUUGUUGUUGGAGCAGGAGUGGUUGUGGUUGUUGUUGUUGGAGCAGCUGUUGUUGUCGUUGUUGUUGUUGUUGGAGAAGGAGUGGUUGUGGUUGUUGUUGGAGCAGGAGUGGUUGUGGUUGUUGUUGGAGCAGGAGUGGUUGUGGUUGUUGGAGCAGCUGUUGUUGUCGUUGUUGUUGUUGUUGGAGCAGGAGUGGUUGUGGUUGUUGUUGGAGCAGCUGUUGUUGUGGUUGUUGUUGUUGGAGAAGGAGUGGUUGUGGUUGUUGUUGGAGCAGCUGUUGUUGUUGUAGUUGGAGCAGGAGUGGUUGUGGUUGUUGUUGGAGCAGCUGUUGUAGUGGUGGUUGUUGGAGCAGAAGUUGUUGUGGUUGUUGUUGGAGUUACUGUAGUUGUGGUUGGAGCAUCUGUUGUUGUGGUUGUUGUUGUUGUUGGAGCAGGUGUUGUUGCGGUUGUUAUUGGAGAAGGAGUGGUUGUCGUUGUUGUUGGAGAAGCUGUUGUCUUGGUUGUUGUUGGAGCAGCUGUGGUCUUGGUUGUUGUUAGAGCAGCCAUUGUAGUAGUUGUAAUUGUGGUUGUUUGAUCUUUUAGUUGUGAAGCUGUAGUUGUUGUUGUAGCUGCUUUAGUUGGUGCAGCAGUAGUUGUAGUCUUGGUUUUGGUUGGAGCAGCUGUUGUUGUUGUGGUUGUUGUUGGAGUCGCUGUUGUAGUUGUUGUUGUUGGAGUAGGUGUUGUUGUCGUUGUUGUUGUUGUUGUUGGAGAAGAGGUUGUUGUGGUGGUUGUUGGAGUGACUGUAGUUGUGGUUGGAGCAGCUGUUGUUGUUGUUGUUGUUGUUGUUGUUGUUGGUACAGGUGUUGUGGUUGUUGGAGCAGGUGUUGUUGUGGUUGUUGUUGUUGUUGGAGAAGUUGUUGUUGUGGUUGUUGUUGGAGAAGGAGUGGUUGUGGUUGUUGUUGGUGCAGCUGUUGUUGUCGUUGUUGUUGUUGUUGUUGGAGCAGGAGUGGUUGUGGUUGUUGUUGGAGCAGCUGUUGUUGUCGUUGUUGUUGUUGUUGGAGCAGCUGUUGUUGUCGUUGUUGUUGUUGUUGGAGCAGGAGUGGUUGUGGUUGUUGUUGGAGCAGAAGUUGUUGUUGGAGUUACUGUCGUUGUGGUUGGAGCAGCUGUUGUUGUUGGAGCAGCUGUUGUUGUUGUUGUUGGAGCAGGAGUGGUGUUGGUUGUUGUUGGAGCAGCUGUUGUUGUGGUGGUUGUUGGAGUAACUGUAGUUGUGGUUGGAGCAGCUGUUGUUGUUGUUGUUGUUGUUGUUGUUGGAACAGGUGUUGUUGUGGUUGUUGGAGAAGGUGUUGUUUUGGUUGUUGUUGGAGCAGGAGUGGUUGUGGUUGUUGUUGUUGGAGUAGGUGUUGUUGUGGUUGUCGUUGGAGCAGGAGUGGUUGUGGUUGUUGUUGGAGCAGAAGUUGUAGUGGUGGUUGUUGGAGCAGGUGUUGUUGUGGUUGUUGGAGCAGGUGUUGUUGUGGUUGUUGUUGGAGCAGGAGUGGUUGUGGUUGUUGUUGGAGUAGGAGUGGUUGUGGUUGUGGUUGUUGUUGGAGAAGAAGUUGUGGUUGUUGAUGGAGUAACAGUAGUUGUAGUUGGAGCAGCUGUUGUUGUUUUUGCUGUUGUUGGAGCAGGUGUUGUUGUUGUAGUUGGAGCAGGAGUGGUUGUCGUUGUGGUCGGAGCAGCUGUUGUUGUUGUUGGAGCAGGUGUUGUUGUGGUUGUUGUUGGAGAAGGAGUGGUUGUGGUUGUUGUUGGAGCAGCUGUUGUUGUCGUUGUUGUUGUUGUUGGAGCAGGAGUGGUUGUGGUUGUUGUUGGAGCAGGAGUGGUUGUGGUUGUUGUUGGAGCAGCUGAUGUUGUAGUGGUUGUUGUUGUAGCAGAUGUUGUCGUGGUUGUUGUUGGAGCAGCUGUUGUUGUGGUUGUUGUUGGAGCAGCUGUUGUAGUGGUUGUUGUUGUUGUUGGAGCAGGUGUUGUUGUGGUUGUUGGAGCAGGUGUUGUUGUGGUUGUUGUUGGAGCAGGAGUGGUUGUGGUUGGAGCAGCUGUUGUUGUUGUCGUUGGAGUAGGUGUUGUUGUGGUUGUUGUUGGAGCAGGAGUGGUUGUGGUUGUUGUUGGAGAAGCCGUUGUUGUUGUGGUUGUGGUUGGAGCAGCUGUUGUUGUUGUAGUUGGUGCAGGAGUGGUUGUGGUUGUUGUUGGAGUUACUGUCGUUGUGGUUGGAGCAGCUGUUGUUGUUGUUAGUGGAGCAGGUGUUGUUGUGGUUGUUGUUGGAGCAGGAGUGGUUGUGGUUGUUGUUGGAGCAGGAGUGGUUGUGGUUGUUGUUGUUGUUGGAGCAGGAGUGGUUGUGGUUGUUGGAGCAGCUGUUGUUGUCGUUGUUGUUGUUGUUGUUGGAGCAGGAGUGGUUGUGGUUGUUGUUGGAGCAGGUGUUGUUGUUGUUGUAGUUGGAGCAGGAGUGGUUGUGGUUGUUGUUGGAGCAGCUGUUGUAGUGGUGGUUGUUGGAGCAGAAGUUGUUGUGGUUGUUGUUGGAGUUACUGUCGUUGUGGUUGGAGCAGCUGUUGUUGUUGUUGGAGAAGGUGUUGUUGUGGUUGUUGUUGGAGCAGGAGUGGUUGUGGUUGUUGUUGGAGUAGCUGUUGUUGUCGUUGUUGUUGUUGUUGGAGAAGGAGUGGUUGUGGUUGUUGGAGCAGCUGUUGUUGUCGUUGUUGUUGUUGUUGUUGUUGGAGCAGGAGUGGUUGUGGUUGUUGUUGGAGCAGCUGUUGUUGUUGUUGGAGCAGGUGUUGUUGUGGUUGUUGUUGGAGAAGGAGUUGUUGUGGUUGUUGUUGGAGCAGCUGUUGUUGUCGUUGUUGUUGGAGCAGGAGUGGUUGUGGUUGUUGUUGGAGCAGCUGUUGUUGUCGUUGUUGUUGUUGUUGUUGGAGAAGGAGUGGUUGUGGUUGUUGUUGGAGCAGGAGUGGUUGUGGUUGUUGUUGGAGCAGCUGUUGUUGUUGUAGUUGGUGCAGGAGUGGUUGUGGUUGUUGUUGGAGUUACUGUCGUUGUGGUUGGAGCAGCUGUUGUUGUUGUUGGAGCAGGUGUUGUUGUGGUUGUUGUUGGAGCAGGAGUGGUUGUGGUUGUUGUUGGUGCAGCUGUUGUUGUCGUUGUUGUUGUUGUUGGAGCAGGAGUGGUUGUGGUUGUUGGAGCAGCUGUUGUUGUCGUUGUUGUUGUUGUUGUUGGAGCAGGAGUGGUUGUGGUUGUUGUUGGAGCAGGUGUUGUUGUUGUUGUAGUUGGAGCAGGAGUGGUUGUGGUUGUUGUUGGAGCAGCUGUUGUAGUGGUGGUUGUUGGAGCAGAAGUUGUUGUGGUUGUUGUUGGAGUUACUGUCGUUGUGGUUGGAGCAGCUGUUGUUGUUGUUGGAGCAGGUGUUGUUGUGGUUGUUGUUGGAGCAGGAGUGGUUGUGGUUGUUGUUGGAGCAGCUGUUGUUGUCGUUGUUGUUGUUGUUGGAGCAGGAGUGGUUGUGGUUGUUGGAGCAGCUGUUGUUGUCGUUGUUGUUGUUGUUGUUGGAGCAGGAGUGGUUGUGGUUGUUGUUGGAGCAGGUGUUGUUGUUGUUGGAGCAGGUGUUGUUGUGGUUGUUGUUGGAGAAGGAGUGGUUGUGGUUGUUGUUGGAGCAGCUGUUGUUGUCGUUGUUGUUGUUGUUGGAGCAGGAGUGGUUGUGGUUGUUGUUGGAGCAGAAGUUGUUGUUGUUGGAGUUACUGUCGUUGUGGUUGGAGCAGCUGUUGUUGUUGGAGCAGCUGUUGUUGUUGUUGUUGGAGCAGGAGUGGUGUUGGUUGUUGUUGGAGCAGCUGUUGUUGUGGUGGUUGUUGGAGUAACUGUAGUUGUGGUUGGAGCAGCUGUUGUUGUUGUUGUUGUUGUUGUUGGAACAGGUGUUGUUGUGGUUGUUGGAGAAGGUGUUGUUUUGGUUGUUGUUGGAGCAGGAGUGGUUGUGGUUGUUGUUGUUGGAGUAGGUGUUGUUGUGGUUGUUGGAGCAGGAGUGGUUGUGGUUGUUGUUGGAGCAGAAGUUGUUGUGGUGGUUGUUGGAGCAGGUGUUGUUGUGGUUGUUGGAGCAGGUGUUGUUGUGGUUGUUGUUGGAGCAGGAGUGGUUGUGGUUGUUGUUGGAGUAGGAGUGGUUGUGGUUGUGGUUGUUGGAGAAGAAGUUGUGGUUGUUGAUGGAGUAACAGUAGUUGUAGUUGGAGCAGCUGUUGUUGUUUUUGCUGUUGUUGGAGCAGGUGUUGUUGUUGUAGUUGGAGCAGGAGUGGUUGUCGUUGUGGUCGGAGAAGCUGUUGUUGUUGUUGGAGCAGGUGUUGUUGUGGUUGUUGUUGGAGAAGGAGUGGUUGUGGUUGUUGUUGGAGCAGCUGUUGUUGUCGUUGUUGUUGUUGUUGGAGCAGGAGUGGUUGUGGUUGUUGUUGGAGCAGGAGUGGUUGUGGUUGUUGUUGGAGCAGCUGAUGUUGUAGUGGUUGUUGUUGUAGCAGAUGUUGUCGUGGUUGUUGGAGCAGCUGUUGUUGUGGUUGUUGUUGGAGCAGCUGUUGUAGUGGUUGUUGUUGUUGUUGGAACAGGUGUUGUUGUGGUUGUUGGAGCAGGUGUUGUUGUGGUUGUUGUUGGAGCAGGAGUGGUUGUGGUUGGAGCAGCUGUUGUUGUUGUUGUUGGAGUAGGUGUUGUUGUGGUUGUUGUUGGAGCAGGAGUGGUUGUGGUUGUUGUUGGAGAAGCCGUUGUUGUUGUGGUUGUGGUUGGAGCAGCUGUUGUUGUUGUAGUUGGUGCAGGAGUUGUUGUGGUUGUUGUUGGAGUUACUGUCGUUGUGGUUGGAGCAGCUGUUGUUGUUGUUGGAGCAGGUGUUGUUGUGGUUGUUGUUGGAGCAGGAGUGGUUGUGGUUGUUGUUGGUGCAGCUGUUGUUGUCGUUGUUGUUGUUGUUGGAGCAGGAGUGGUUGUGGUUGUUGGAGCAGCUGUUGUUGUCGUUGUUGUUGUUGUUGCUGGAGAAGGAGUGGUUGUGGUUGUUGUUGGAGCAGGUGUUGUUGUUGUUGUUGUUGUAGUUGGAGCAGGAGUGGAUGUGGUUGUUGUUGGAGCAGCUGUUGUAGUGGUGGUUGUUGGAGCAGAAGUUGUUGUGGUUGUUGUUGGAGUUACUGUCGUUGUGGUUGGAGCAGCUUUUGUUGUUGUUGGAGCAGGUGUUGUUGUGGUUGUUGUUGGAGCAGGAGUGGUUGUGGUUGUUGGAGAAGCUGUUGUUGUCGUUGUUGUUGUUGUUGGAGCAGGAGUGGUUGUGGUUGUUGGAGCAGCUGUUGUUGUAGUUGUUGUUGUUGGAGAAGGAGUAGUUGUGGUUGUUGUUGGAGAAGCUGUUGUUGUUGUUGGAGCAGGUGUUGUUGUGGUUGUUGUUGGAGAAGGAGUGGUUGUGGUUGUUGUUGGAGCAGCUGUUGUUGUUGUCGUUGUUGUUGUUGUUGGAGCAGGAGUGGUUGUGGUUGUUGUUGGAGCAGCUGUUGUUGUUGUUGUUGUUGGAGCAGGAGUGGUUGUGGUUGUUGUUGGAGCAGGAGUGGUUGUGGUUGUUGUUGGAGCAGCUGUUGUUGUUGUAGUUGGUGCAGGAGUGGUUGUGGUUGUUGUUGGAGUUACUGUCGUUGUGGUUGGAGCAGCUGUUGUUGUUGUUGGAGCAGGUGUUGUUGUGGUUGUUGUUGGAGCAGGAGUGGUUGUGGUUGUUGUUGGAGCAGCUGUUGUUGUCGUUGUUGUUGUUGUUGGAGCAGGAGUGGUUGUGGUUGUUGUUGGAGCAGGAGUGGUUGUGGUUGUUGUUGGAGCAGCUGUUGUUGUUGUAGUUGGUGCAGGAGUGGUUGUGGUUGUUGUUGGAGUAACUGUCGUUGUGGUUGGAGCAGCUGUUGUUGUUGUUGGAGCAGGUGUUGUUGUGGUUGUUGGAGCAGGUGUUGUUGUGGUUGUUGUUGGAGCAGGAGUGGUUGUGGUUGGAGCAGCUGUUGUUGUUGUUGUUGGAGUAGGUGUUGUUGUGGUUGUUGUUGGAGCAGGAGUGGUUGUGGUUGUUGUUGGAGAAGCCGUUGUUGUUGUGGUUGUGGUUGGAGCAGCUGUUGUUGUUGUAGUUGGUGCAGGAGUGGUUGUGGUUGUUGUUGGAGUUACUGUCGUUGUGGUUGGAGCAGCUGUUGUUGUUGUUGGAGCAGAUGUUGUUGUGGUUGUUGUUGGAGCAGGAGUGGUUGUGGUUGUUGUUGGUGCAGCUGUUGUUGUCGUUGUUGUUGUUGUUGGAGCAGGAGUGGUUGUGGUUGUUGGAGCAGCUGUUGUUGUCGUUGUUGUUGUUGUUGUUGGAGCAGGAGUGGUUGUGGUUGUUGGAGCAGGUGUUGUUGUUGUUGUAGUUGGAGCAGGAGUGGUUGUGGUUGUUGUUGGAGAAGCUGUUGUUGUUGUUGUUGGAGCAGAAGUUGUUGUGGUUGUUGUUGGAGUUACUGUCGUUGUGGUUGGAGCAGCUGUUGUUGUUGUUGGAGCAGGUGUUGUUGUGGUUGUUGUUGGAGCAGGAGUGGUUGUGGUUGUUGUUGGAGCAGCUGUUGUUGUUGUUGGAGCAGGAGUGGUUGUGGUUGUUGGAGCAGCUGUUGUUGUCGUUGUUGUUGUUGUUGUUGGAGCAGGAGUGGUUGUGGUUGUUGUUGGAGCAGGUGUUGUUGUUGUUGGAGCAGGUGUUGUUGUGGUUGUUGUUGGAGAAGGAGUGGUUGUGGUUGUUGUUGGAGCAGCUGUUGUUGUUGUCGUUGUUGUUGUUGUUGGAGCAGGAGUGGUUGUGGUUGUUGUUGGAGCAGCUGUUGUUGUCGUUGUUGUUGUUGUUGGAGCAGGAGUGGUUGUGGUUGUUGUUGGAGCAGGAGUGGUUGUGGUUGUUGUUGGAGCAGCUGUUGUUGUUGUAGUUGGUGCAGGAGUGGUUGUGGUUGUUGUUGGAGUUACUGUCGUUGUGGUUGGAGCAGCUGUUGUUGUUGUUGGAGCAGGUGUUGUUGUGGUUGUUGUUGGAGCAGGAGUGGUUGUGGUUGUUGUUGGUGCAGCUGUUGUUGUCGUUGUUGUUGUUGUUGGAGCAGGAGUGGUUGUGGUUGUUGGAGCAGCUGUUGUUGUCGUUGUUGUUGUUGUUGUUGGAGCAGGAGUGGUUGUGGUUGUUGUUGGAGCAGGUGUUGUUGUUGUUGUAGUUGGAGCAGGAGUGGUUGUGGUUGUUGUUGGAGCAGCUGUUGUAGUGGUGGUUGUUGGAGCAGAAGUUGUUGUGGUUGUUGUUGGAGUUACUGUCGUUGUGGUUGGAGCAGCUGUUGUUGUUGUUGGAGCAGGUGUUGUUGUGGUUGUUGUUGGAGCAGGAGUGGUUGUGGUUGUUGUUGGAGCAGCUGUUGUUGUCGUUGUUGUUGUUGUUGUUGGAGCAGGAGUGGUUGUGGUUGUUGUUGGAGCAGGUGUUGUUGUUGUUGGAGCAGGUGUUGUUGUGGUUGUUGUUGGAGAAGGAGUGGUUGUGGUUGUUGUUGGAGCAGCUGUUGUUGUCGUUGUUGUUGUUGUUGGAGCAGGAGUGGUUGUGGUUGUUGUUGGAGCAGCUGUUGUUGUCGUUGUUGUUGUUGUUGGAGCAGGAGUGGUUGUGGUUGUUGUUGGAGCAGGAGUGGUUGUGGUUGUUGUUGGAGCAGAAGUUGUUGUUGUUGGAGUUACUGUCGUUGUGGUUGGAGCAGCUGUUGUUGUUGGAGCAGCUGUUGUUGUUGGUGUUGGAGCAGGAGUGGUGUUGGUUGUUGUUGGAGCAGCUGUUGUUGUGGUGGUUGUUGGAGUAACUGUAGUUGUGGUUGGAGCAGCUGUUGUUGUUGUUGUUGUUGUUGUUGUUGUUGUUGGAACAGGUGUUGUUGUGGUUGUUGGAGAAGGUGUUGUUUUGGUUGUUGUUGGAGCAGGAGUGGUUGUGGUUGUUGUUGUUGGAGUAGGUGUUGUUGUGGUUGUUGUUGGAGCAGGAGUGGUUGUGGUUGUUGUUGUUGGAGUAGGUGUUGUUGUGGUUGUUGUUGGAGCAGCUGUUGUUGUUGUUGUUGGAGUAGGUGUUGUUGUGGUUGUGGUUGUUGUUGGAGAAGCCGUUGUUGUUGUGGUUGUUGUUGGAGCAGAAGUUGUUGUGGUGGUUGUUGGAGCAGGUGUUGUUGUGGUUGUUGGAGCAGCUGUUGUUGUGGUUGUUGUUGGAGCAGCUGUUGUAGUGGUUGUUGUUGUUGUUGGAACAGGUGUUGUUGUGGUUGUUGGAGCAGGUGUUGUUGUGGUUGUUGUUGGAGCAGGAGUGGUUGUGGUUGGAGCAGCUGUUGUUGUUGUUGUUGGAGUAGGUGUUGUUGUGGUUGUUGUUGGAGCAGGAGUGGUUGUGGUUGUUGUUGGAGAAGCCGUUGUUGUUGUGGUUGUGGUUGGAGCAGCUGUUGUUGUUGUAGUUGGUGCAGGAGUGGUUGUUGUUGGAGUUACUGUCGUUGUGGUUGGAGCAGCUGUUGUUGUUGUUGGAGCAGGUGUUGUUGUGGUUGUUGUUGGAGCAGGAGUGGUUGUGGUUGUUGUUGGUGCAGCUGUUGUUGUCGUUGUUGUUGUUGUUGGAGCAGGAGUGGUUGUGGUUGUUGGAGCAGCUGUUGUAGUGGUUGUUGUUGUUGUUGGAACAGGUGUUGUUGUGGUUGUUGUUGGUGCAGCUGUUGUUGUCGUUGUUGUUGUUGUUGGAGCAGGAGUGGUUGUGGUUGUUGGAGCAGCUGUUGUAGUGGUUGUUGUUGUUGUUGGAACAGGUGUUGUUGUGGUUGUUGGAGCAGGUGUUGUUGUGGUUGUUGUUGGAGCAGGAGUGGUUGUGGUUGGAGCAGCUGUUGUUGUUGUUGUUGGAGUAGGUGUUGUUGUGGUUGUUGUUGGAGCAGGAGUGGUUGUGGUUGUUGUUGGAGAAGCCGUUGUUGUUGUGGUUGUUGUUGGAGCAGAAGUUGUUGUGGUGGUUGUUGGAGCAGGUGUUGUUGUGGUUGUUGGAGCAGGUGUUGUUGUGGUUGUUGUUGGAGAAGGAGUGGUUGUGGUUGUUGUUGGAGUAGGAGUGGUUGUGGUUGUUGUUGGAGAAGAAGUUGUGGUUGUUGAUGGAGUAACAGUAGUUGUAGUUGGAGCAGCUGUUGUUGUUUUUGCUGUUGUUGGAGCAGGUGUUGUUGUUGUAGUUGGAGCAGGAGUGGUUGUCGUUGUGGUCGGAGCAGCUGUUGUUGUUGUUGGAGCAGGUGUUGUUGUGGUUGUUGUUGGAGAAGGAGUGGUUGUGGUUGUUGUUGGAGAAGCUGUUGUUUUCGUUGUUGUUGUUGUUGGAGCAGGAGUGGUUGUGGUUGUUGUUGGAGCAGCUGAUGUUGUAGUGGUUGUUGUUGUUGCAGAUGUUGUCGUGGUUGUUGGAGCAGCUGUUGUUGUGGUUGUUGUUGGAGCAGCUGUUGUAGUGGUUGUUGUUGUUGUUGGAACAGGUGUUGUUGUGGUUGUUGGAGCAGGUGUUGUUGUGGUUGUUGUUGGAGCAGGAGUGGUUGUGGUUGGAGCAGCUGUUGUUGUUGUUGGAGUAGGUGUUGUUGUGGUUGUUGUUGGAGCAGGAGUGGUUGUGGUUGUUGUUGGAGAAGCCGUUGUUGUUGUGGUUGUGGUUGGAGCAGCUGUUGUUGUUGUAGUUGGUGCAGGAGUGGUUGUUGUUGGAGUUACUGUCGUUGUGGUUGGAGCAGCUGUUGUUGUUGUUGGAGCAGGUGUUGUUGUGGUUGUUGUUGGAGCAGGAGUGGUUGUGGUUGUUGUUGGUGCAGCUGUUGUUGUCGUUGUUGUUGUUGUUGGAGCAGGAGUGGUUGUGGUUGUUGGAGCAGCUGUUGUAGUGGUUGUUGUUGUUGUUGGAACAGGUGUUGUUGUGGUUGUUGGAGCAGGUGUUGUUGUGGUUGUUGUUGGAGCAGGAGUGGUUGUGGUUGGAGCAGCUGUUGUUGUUGUUGUUGGAGUAGGUGUUGUUGUGGUUGUUGUUGGAGCAGGAGUGGUUGUGGUUGUUGUUGGAGAAGCCGUUGUUGUUGUGGUUGUGGUUGGAGCAGCUGUUGUUGUUGUAGUUGGUGCAGGAGUGGUUGUGGUUGUUGUUGGAGUUACUGUCGUUGUGGUUGGAGCAGCUGUUGUUGUUGUUGGAGCAGGUGUUGUUGUGGUUGUUGUUGGAGCAGGAGUGGUUGUGGUUGUUGUUGGUGCAGCUGUUGUUGUCGUUGUUGUUGUUGGAGCAGGAGUGGUUGUGGUUGUUGGAGCAGCUGUUGUUGUCGUUGUUGUUGUUGUUGUUGGAGUAGGAGUGGUUGUGGUUGUUGUUGGAGCAGGUGUUGUUGUUGUUGUAGUUGGAGCAGGAGUGGUUGUGGUUGUUGUUGGAGCAGCUGUUGUAGUGGUGGUUGUUGGAGCAGAAGUUGUUGUGGUUGUUGUUGGAGUUACUGUCGUUGUGGUUGGAGCAGCUGUUGUUGUUGUUGGAGCAGGUGUUGUUGUGGUUGUUGUUGGAGCAGGAGUGGUUGUGGUUGUUGUUGGAGCAGCUGUUGUUGUCGUUGUUGUUGUUGUUGGAGCAGGAGUGGUUGUGGUUGUUGGAGCAGCUGUUGUUGUCGUUGUUGUUGUUGUUGUUGGAGCAGGAGUGGUUGUGGUUGUUGUUGGAGCAGGUGUUGUUGUUGUUGGAGCAGGUGUUGUUGUGGUUGUUGUUGGAGAAGGAGUGGUUGUGGUUGUUGUUGUUGGAGCAGCUGUUGUUGUUGUCGUUGUUGUUGUUGUUGGAGCAGGAGUGGUUGUGGUUGUUGUUGGAGCAGCUGUUGUUGUCGUUGUUGUUGUUGUUGGAGCAGGAGUGGUUGUGGUUGUUGUUGGAGCAGGAGUGGUUGUGGUUGUUGUUGGAGCAGCUGUUGUUGUUGUAGUUGGUGCAGGAGUGGUUGUGGUUGUUGUUGGAGUUACUGUCGUUGUGGUUGGAGCAGCUGUUGUUGUUGUUGGAGCAGGUGUUGUUGUGGUUGUUGUUGGAGCAGGAGUGGUUGUGGUUGUUGUUGGUGCAGCUGUUGUUGUCGUUGUUGUUGUUGUUGGAGCAGGAGUGGUUGUGGUUGUUGGAGUAGCUGUUGUUGUCGUUGUUGUUGUUGUUGUUGGAGCAGGAGUGGUUGUGGUUGUUGUUGGAGCAGGUGUUGUUGUUGGAGCAGGAGUGGUUGUGGUUGUUGUUGGAGCAGCUGUUGUAGUGGUGGUUGUUGGAGCAGAAGUUGUUGUGGUUGUUGUUGGAGUUACUGUCGUUGUGGUUGGAGCAGCUGUUGUUGUUGUUGGAGCAGGUGUUGUUGUGGUUGUUGUUGGAGCAGGAGUGGUUGUGGUUGUUGUUGGAGCAGCUGUUGUUGUCGUUGUUGUUGUUGGAGCAGGAGUGGUUGUGGUUGUUGGAGCAGCUGUUGUUGUUGUUGUUGUUGUUGUUGUUGGAGCAGGAGUGGUUGUGGUUGUUGUUGGAGCAGCUGUUGUUGUCGUUGUUGUUGUUGUUGGAGCAGGAGUGGUUGUGGUUGUUGUUGGAGCAGAAGUUGUUGUUGUUGGAGUUACUGUCGUUGUGGUUGGAGCAGCUGUUGUUGUUGGAGCAGCUGUUGUUGUUGUUGUUGGAGCAGGAGUGGUGUUGGUUGUUGUUGGAGCAGCUGUUGUUGUGGUGGUUGUUGGAGUAACUGUAGUUGUGGUUGGAGCAGCUGUUGUUGUUGUUGUUGUUGGAACAGGUGUUGUUGUGGUUGUUGGAGAAGGUGUUGUUUUGGUUGUUGUUGGAGCAGGAGUGGUUGUUGUUGUUGGAGUAGGUGUUGUUGUGGUUGUUGUUGGAGCAGGAGUGGUUGUGGUUGUUGUUGGAGCAGAAGUUGUUGUGGUGGUUGUUGGAGCAGGUGUUGUUGUGGUUGUUGGAGCAGGUGUUGUUGGAGCAGGAGUGGUUGUGGUUGUUGUUGGAGUAGGAGUGGUUGUGGUUGUGGUUGUUGUUGGAGAAGAAGUUGUGGUUGUUGAUGGAGUAACAGUAGUUGUAGUUGGAGCAGCUGUUGUUGUUUUUGCUGUUGUUGGAGCAGGUGUUGUUGUUGUAGUUGGAGCAGGAGUGGUUGUCGUUGUGGUCGGAGCAGCUGUUGUUGUUGUUGGAGCAGGUGUUGUUGUUGUUGUUGUUGGAGAAGGAGUGGUUGUGGUUGUUGUUGGAGCAGGAGUGGUUGUGGUUGUUGUUGGAGCAGCUGAUGUUGUAGUGGUUGUUGUUGUAGCAGAUGUUGUCGUGGUUGUUGUUGGAGCAGCUGUUGUUGUGGUUGUUGUUGGAGCAGCUGUUGUAGUGGUUGUUGUUGUUGUUGGAACAGGUGUUGUUGUGGUUGUUGGAGCAGGUGUUGUUGUGGUUGUUGUUGGAGCAGGAGUGGUUGUGGUUGGAGCAGCUGUUGUUGUUGUUGGAGUAGGUGUUGUUGUGGUUGUUGUUGGAGCAGGAGUGGUUGUGGUUGUUGUUGGAGAAGCCGUUGUUGUUGUGGUUGUGGUUGGAGCAGCUGUUGUUGUCGUUGUUGUUGUUGGAGCAGCUGUUGUUGUGGUUGUUGUAGGAGUUACUGUUGUUGUGCUUGGAGCAACUGUAGUUGUGGUUUUAGUUGUUGUUGGAGCAGAUGUUGUCGUGGUUGUCGUUGGAGCAGCUGUUGUUGUGGUUGUUGUUGGAGAAGCUGUUGUUGUGGUGGUUGUUGGAGCAGAGGUUGUAGUGGUUGUUGGAGUUGCUGUAGUUGUGGUUGGAGCAGCUGUUGUUGUGGUUUUAGUUGUUGUUGGAGCAGGUGUUGUUGUGGUUGUUGUUGGAGCAGCUGUUGUUGUUGUUGUCUUGGUUGUGGUCGGAGCAGCUGUUGUAGUUUUUGUGGUUGGAGCUGUUGAAGAAGUGGUUGUUGGAGCAGUUUUUGUAGUUGUUGUGGUUGGAGCAGCUGUUGUUGUUGCAGCUGUUGUUGUUGUUUUUGUUGGAGCCGCUGUUGUAGUGGUUGUUUUUGGAGCCGCUGUUGUAGUGGUUUUUGGAGCAGCUGUCCUUGUUGUUGGAGCAGCAGUAGAUUUGGAUUCGGUUGAAACUGCUGUUGUUUUUUGGGAAGAUUUUAAAAUUGUUGUUGUGACGGCCAUUGGUGUGGUUCUCCCAGCUAUCUUUGCACUUGCAGCACCCGUGGUUGUAGUUGCAGCUAAAAACAAAUGAAAUUCAUUUGUAAGCAAUGUUACAUUUUUUUAAAAUUUUAUAUCAUUUCGAAUUUACUUGAUCAUAUUCUAGCCUUUCUAACCCUUAAACAAUACUGUUUCUCCGUUACAUUACAAGUUAACACACAAGUCUUAAUCCAGUCAUAAACCUGAGAGACCCAAGACAUAACAUUUACUGAAACAACUACACCAAAGAAGAAUCACUGGUGCUUUAAGCGUGAAAAUAGAACUAUAUAAUAAGGCUUUGUGACAAUGCAGGUUAUUGAGGUCCAUGAUAUUCCACAAAAGGAAUAUUAAACCUAAUAUGUGUGCAAAAAACAUGGAGAUAGUUGCAUUCCAUAAUGUACAGUUUUGGUAGACUUGCAUUUCCUCUGAAUUACACCAAAGCCUUGAAUAUCAGCAGGUUUAGCAGUGUGCCAGACAGUCAACAGGAGGGCUUAUAUAUGUUUUAAAAGCCACCAGAUGUUACUGUGUUUGCUGAGUUUGCUGGAAAAAAGCCCCCAAGCUUUUACAAUACAUCACCUGCCCAUCACUUACGGCGCACCAUUUUCAACCCAUACCCCAAAGUACUUAACUGGCUCACUUAAGAGACUGUCAUGUUCACACUUCAAAACAUCGGACCAGAGCACUAAAUCUAAACUGAGUGAAUAAAGACCACAUGAGCUGUUUCUGAUGGAUGCUUUUCAACUUAUUCUGAGAGCCACACGUAUGUUUUAGCUCUAAUUUUAUAAACAGAGAAGUUAAAUGAAAAGAAAGGCCGGAGUAAUGAAAUGCUACACAGAAUAUUCAUUAAACAAACAAGAGAAAAUAGUCGACUGUAAUCCAUAAACUAGAGUCUUUACCACUUUUUAUGAACUCGGGCUUAAAGGUCGCAUUUAUCCACUCUCAACAUCACCACACAUCACUGAGCUCUUCAUUCUCAUCCGCCCUUUUAGAAACUAAUUGUCUUAGUCUCAUUUUUCAAAGGUGUUCAAGCUUAUUACGACUAUUUAAAGUAAAUUUUAAUGAAGUAGAUACAAAAUAAAUGUAGCUCGGGUUUAACUUCCUUCUGUCAAAAUACAAAAAUUCUUUGAGGUUUUAAAUCAGACCAGAGAAAGAAUCAUUAGAUUUACCCAUGCUGCAGAGUCCCCAGAUGAGGGUCAACGAGAGGAUAAGUUUCACCAUGAUGAACGAACGUAGUGUAGACCAGUAAUCCUGAAUGGUGAUUCAAAACCUUUUUUACUGCUGCUGCACUUUAUAUACCCAUCUGAACAUAAGAACACACAAUUAAAUGACAGCACCAUUUGUGAUUGGGUGUGUUUGCAUUUUACAGAGUAAUCAUUUCGCCACUCAUCUCUUUUGUGACCUGAAAAAACCGCUUCCCACACCUUCCCACACCCUUUUAAUUUGAGCAGUGUUUCUAUGUGCAGAAUGAUGCGUCAAAAGAAAUUAUCUAAGAUACUGAGGACUCUUAGUGUUGAGAGUAUUUUCUGUACAUAUCCCUAUCUAAAAAAGAGAAACAUAUAUUUUUAUUGUAGUUUUAACCUUUCUCAAUUUUUGAUUACAGUCUAAUUUAACAUUGGUCCUCAGAUGUAUGUCUAAUAAAAAAAUAUAUAUAUUUAGCAGAAUAAAAGGAGUAAUUUAAAUGAGUUGACGAUCACAUCAAACAGUGGGUUUUGAUCCAAGGUCCUGCUGCCCACAAGCUGAAGUGUCCUUAGCAAGAACCUCGACCCCAACCGACCGAGCUGGCUGCACCCAGUGGUGUAUGAAUGGGACUAGUCAAAAUAAAAAAAAAAGGGCUUUAUUUACGGCAGCCUCUUCCAUCAGUGUGUGAAUGUGGUGUGAAGACUAAACUGGCAUGUGUUUUUGAUCUGUUUCAGUGCACCCCUCAAGAGUCUGUUUUAAAGUCCGUCUUUUCUGUUAUGGUCUGAAGCGUCAGUGAAGUCUGGGUUCCUGCAGAACCCAGUGAUUUUAAAUCAAGGGCCUGUAAAAGAGUUUUGUGAUGACUGCUCGUGUGUCAUCGGUUACCGCUCUUCCUAAUUCCUGCGUCUCCCCCUAUCAGUCUCUCUCUCUCUCUCUCUCUCUCUCUCUCUCUCUCUCUCUCUCUCUCCCUUUCUCUCUCUCUCCUCUCUAAACCCAGCUCAGUCUCAGCACAUGACUGUCUAACAUCAGUCUGGUUCUGCUUCAGGUUUCUGCCUGUUUAAGGAAGUUCUUGGUAAAUGCUGUAAAGUGUUUCACCCAUGUGGUUGAAGAUUAGGGGAUGGGACUGGGUCUAAUCUUACUGGAUGGGGCUCAAGAUUGAUUGAUUGUUGAUUGGCUUCAUCAACAGUACAUAUAGGGUCCCAGCCAUAGUACUAGCCACCAAACAUAUUUAUCAUUUCCUUAAAGUAAUAAUCACUAUAUUAAUCAUUUUACAGACGCGGUAGUUCUUCUGUCUUAGCGUCUUGGUCUGAUUGUAUUUCCAUGAAGAAAUGAUCAUAAAUGUUCUUCCUUGAGCUGCGGCACCCCACUAUAGUCUGUAAUGGACUGGCCUGAGGUCUCUCUACAAACAAGCGGCUGCUGGAAGAGAGUAGGUGAGUUGUGUUUAGUCCCUUUUCUAAAGAAAUGAGUCAAAGUUAAAAAGAUCUUUGUUGUCUAGUACUAUGUCUGUGACCCUAUAUGUCCUGUUGAUGAAGUUAGGUGCUGUUCUGAGCAUUAUUUGUGGCUAUAGAGUGGUGUUUUUGUUGAGGUUUGUUUAUGGCUCCUCAGACCGCUGUGUUUUGCUAUCCUGCGGUCGUUACUAAAGUUGGUAUAACUGGAAAAGCAAGCGGUCAGCAACAUUUAUCUCUCGAGGGGGUGUCCAACACGGUGUGUUUGACCCAAAUUAAUUUUACACCAGAAUAUCCCUUAAAGGGCUGGGCUUGAUUGGCCUCCUACUUUAGCAGCGCCCCACUUAGGUGAUUUUAUCGUAUUUUAUUACAUCUCUUAUUCUCUCAUUUAAAUAUAGUUGUGAUGACUGAUUUGGUUUGGCUUUGCAAUUAAACCAAAUGUACAUGGACAUUGACAUCCUGCUUAAAUAAACAUAGCAAUGGGGGCAGAGGCGGUUCUUUGAGCCUCUUUGGUCGUUUUUACGGUGUUAGCCUUCAGUAAAUCAUGAAAGUUGAGCAACAGUUGUUGCGCGAUAAGGCAAUCGGGGUAAGAUUUGUGAAUUAAGUCAAAUAAGAAUGAAAGGAAAGCAAAAGCUGUGAAAAACAAAGUAAUACUAAAAGCUUUCAAUUUCAAAAUAAAAGCCUGAGAUAUGAGGCCGCUGCACUUCGAUUAACCGAGACGUUCCUCUUGUUUGUUUGCCACUUCAGUCCAGUUGCCAAACGCCCUCCAGCUCCACUAUUGUUUUCCCUCUGGCCUUUUGUUAUCCUGCAAAUGCCUGCCUGAUUACCAACCUGCCAGCCAGCCGCUACCUGUUUGACGACUUCCCUGCCGAGCGCGUAAGGAGUGUUACGCAUGUAUAUUACACAAUGAAUGAACUAGCCCGCCUAUUUCUGUCUGCCUUUGAGUCCUUCAUGUUUACUCCACCCUCUGAGUUUUCUCGUAGACUUAAUGUUCUGUGAACAUUUAGGCUUUUCCAAGUCUUACAUACAGUACUUCGUCAAAUAGGUGGGUAUACGGGGACUUUGUAAAGCCAGGACUGGAGGUGGGAAAGUUAUAAAACAAAGAAAAAUACAUGUCAAGAUUAAGAGCAUAAUUGUUAUGGAAGCCCUUUAAAACAUACUAGAAUACCAGGUAGGGAUGAUUAAAUAUGAAAAAUCUCACAACAAGAUGAAUAAACAAGAUUCUUUUGUUCAUAUCCUCAUUAUUAAUGCAACCACAUGAAAGUUUAUGACUUUAUAACAUGAAAAUCUCAGACAAACAACAAAUUAGACAUCCCAUCUGUCACAUUUUAGGUCUAUACAAGAUCUUGGAGGGAUAUUCCAGUGUAAAAAUAAGUUAGGGUCAAACACACCGUUCUCUAGUUAUACCAACUUUAGUAACUUUAGUACGAUGAUUAUUACUUCAAGGAAAUGAUAAAGAAAUGAUCAUAAAUGUUCUUCCUUGAGCUGCGGCACCCCGCUGUAGUCUGUAAUGGACUGGCCUGAGGUCUCUCUACAAACAAGCGUCUGCUGGAAGAGAGUAGGUGAGUUGUGUUUAGUCUCUUUGCUAAAGAAAUGAGUCAAAGUUAAAAAGAUGUUUGGUGUCUAGUACUAUGUGUGUGACCCUAUAUGUCCUGUUGAUGAAGUUAGGUGCUGUUCUGAGCAUUAUUUGUGGCUAUAGAGUGGCGUUUUGGUUGAACGCGUGGCUCUCUGUAUUGCUAUCCUGCGGUCGUUACUAAAGUUGGUAUAACUAGAGAAGCAAGCGGUCGGCAACAUUCAUCUCUGGAGGGGGGGUCUAACUUGGUGUUACGGUUUGUUUGACCCAAAUUAAUUUGACGCCGGAAUAUCCCUUUAAGUAAAGAGUUUUCUUGAUUUUCAUGUAAAGUUAGAUUCACUACAGAGCUGCAGCAGAUCCAACUGUUGAUUGGAAAGUUUCAGUCUUUUACAAAAACAUCUCUCUGGAUGUUAGAUAAUAUCGUUCCUCCGAAAUCAUCGGACAGUAUUGACGUAAAAUUAUAAUUUCAAGAGUUAUCGGUGUCGGGUUUUUAAAAACUGAUGUCUGUUCUGUAAGCUUCAGUAUUCCUGAGCCUGCAUGAAUGCACACGCUUCAUGACGUGUAACAACAACAUGGUAGACUCGUGGGCAUGAUAACUAACAGUAGCUUACAAGCCCACUCGGUACAUUAGAUGUCUGUGGUGUGUCACCUAUGAAUAAAAAUAUGCGGUGUGGAAUGACUGCAAAGCGUUGGUUAUGAAAAGAGGCAACAGCUGAAGAAAACCACGCAGUCGUCGCUUAAGGAGUCGACUGAGUAAAAACAAAAGAACAACAAGGACCACCCCAGGUGGGAAGCCAUGUUGCAUUUAUGCAUGCAUCCAGUGGGACGUCACAAUAAAAUUAGGCAUAAUGUGUUAAUUCCGUAAUAAGCCAUAUGUUAUGUUGUUACCUAACAGUCUUGGUGUAAAAAGCCUGCAUAUGUUGGACAAUAUCGGAUAUCGGCAAAAAAGCCAAUCUCCUUAAUUUUCACCACUUUAACAUCAGCCUCCAAAUCCUGGUCAUCAUCCCCUCACUUGCACUCAUGUCUGACUCUCUAAAGUGUUGUGUUCUUGUUGUGCCCAGCUUCCUUUUUUGCUUCGUAACUCAACGUUUUUUUCCUUUUAGUCACACAAAAUCUGACACUUGCAUCAGCUGGCCGUUCAAAGGUUAUCCGUCUUUAUAUUUACAUGUAAUUGCCUGACUGGCAUGCAAACACGCAACUCUGACUGAAAUCGAACUUCUCAUAGUCGGACUAACACACCUGGAUAAGGAGGUUGAGGAUUGGAUUUUCUGGCUGAAGCGUCCUGUGUGAGGUCGAUUUACCUGGUUGUGUUGCUCGGUAGCUCAGUAUUGAACAAAACCUUUAUCGGCAAAGGAGGACGUAAAAAGACGAAACUUUCCUCCUGUACAAACUAACGGCACAGAGCAGUAAGGAUGAGGGUGAUUUGUCGCUUGUUUUCACGAAAUGUGCAUGAAAUCAGUCCCGUUUUGGUCACCUGACGUGCCACUGGUUUCAUUUCAUUGUCAUCAUCACCGUUUAAACGCAAGUUAAUGUUUUGUGCACCGAUUUUAACAUUAAAAUUCAACAUAAUUCAUCACAGCAAAUCUACUUUCAUAUUGUAUUUUAUUGGCUAUGUGUAUAAUCACAUUUAUAAGGGGAAUUAUCUCAGUUUAUUGCCUUGUUAUUAAACAUCUCUGCCCUAUGUUUGUAUUUUCUAACUCUUAUUUUACGACGGCACACUAUUAACUUUGAGCGGUCUCUGGAUUAUGAUAGCAGCUGAUCCAGAUACCUUAUCCGUGUGCAUCAUGCUUUGUCUAGUUUGAGUGUACACCCCCCGUCUACAUUUUGGGGUCUUUUAUAUAAAUCUGUUGUGUUACAGUUGAGCAAUGUCCGUCCAGUUAAAACAGACAGACCACCUCAGGCUCGGUCAGAGCGGCUCAUUCCCCACUUUUAUGACUGUCUUUUUAAAUCAAAGGUUGUUUUGUUUUUAUUUCCCUCUCUGUCCCUCUCUGUCCCUCUCUGCGUUGGUGCAGAUCUUUAUUUUGCUAUUUUGGUUGUCGGAUCAGCCGCGACAUAACGCAAGACUUGUUACAUUGUUAGAAUUACAUUCUCAUUGGGAGUUAAUAAAGUUAAUUUGCACCUUGCUUUAAUGACGCAGGGAGCAAUGGCUCCACUCAAACCUUUGUCACUUAUAAUGGGCGGGAUAUCACACCCACACACUCCCAUUUGUACUCAAACUGGAUGUCAUUGUGAUGUACCUGAUAAUUUGGGCACUGCCCUUUAAAGGCAUGAGUGUAUUUUAGUGUGCUUUCUUAGCCUGAAACUGUUGAUUAGAGCAUCAUUAAAUAGAUUCCUUUUAUUAAUUAAAAUCUUUGUUAAAGACUC